CUACUCCUCCGGGAGGCAGCAGUAGGUAAUCUUCCGCAAUGGACGAAAGUCUGACGGAGCAACGCCGCGUCAGUGAUGAAGGCUUUCGGGUCGUAAAACUCUGUUGUUAGGGAAGAACAAGUACAAGAGUAACUGCUUGUACCUUGACGGUACC
rnacentral:rRNA from 1 species